GUGCAAGGCCGAGCUGAGCUGAGCUGAGCUGCAGCGAGUGACAGCUCCACAGAAAAGCAAAGCAAGCAAGCUACCUCUCUCUCUCUCUCUCUCUCUCUCGGUAGCUUCUCUCUCUUGCUGGCUGGCUCUCUGCGCGUGGUGUGUACUCCUGCUGUCCCUGCUGCGGCUACAGCUACUGUUGCAGCUCGAGCACCCAGAAGGCCAGAAACCCAGAACAAGUCUCACACCCUCCUCCUCCUCUCGUCCAUACUAGCACCACCGCUGCUGCUGUUGCUCCUGCUGCUGUGCUGCCGCCGCCUGCUCGUCCAAGAAUCUUCCAGCUUUCCCCAAUACUGAGCAGCCAACUCCUGCUACCGCUUCUUGAUCUGUGGGAUUUUCUUCUUGUUUCGAAUCCAAGAUCACUUCCAAUCCAUAGUUUUGGCUUUUGGCUUCCCUCCAGCAUCAGUGAAAAUUGGUUCUUUGGAGGGGAAGAAAUGGAUAGCGGCUGGAUAUGCUUCUUGAGCCAGAUUGCUGAUUUGAUGCAAUAAGAUUUCUAUCUUAUUUCUUGCUGCAGUAUCACAAAUCAAACUAGGAGAACUGACUGAGAAGUGAAAUAUUCUGCUUCCAAGAAUCAAUCAGAUAAACUGAUUCCAAGAAAAUAACAAGAAGUAAUCAGAUAACAGAAGCAGCUGCAGCUGCAGCAGUAGCAUCUUUCUGUUCCCAGUAAUUGCCCAAUCCAACUCCAGCUAGAUUUAAUCAGAUAGAGAAGUAAUCUGCUGGAUUGAAAUCCAUGGGUAGGGGAAGAGGCAGAGGGAGGAAGCUCACCAAUGGCAGGAGCCAUGAGGACAAGGGCAGCAGCGGCGAGGAGGUUGUGCCUGCGAGGAAGAGGAGGGGAAGGCCGCAGAAGCGCAUUGUCGACAAGGUGGUGGAUCAAGCAGAGGCCAAGAAUCUAACCGAGGGCGACGACGGUGAUGCUGACUACCAACAAGGCGAAGGAGAAGACGGCGGUGCGAAGCCGAAGGUGUCAAGAACGGAGAAGAGCUCUGCAGGGAAGGGCAACAAGAGGAACAGGCUGCCCAAGGAGGAAGAAAGCUCAAACCUUGACCUUGAGGAGAACAGCUCAAGCACCCGGUCCAGCAACGAUGAAUCCACCAGGUCCAAUGGCUUCCGGCAGAAUGGCAGCCGGCGUAAGAGCACGCCGCGGCGAGCCGCGGAGGCGGGGAUAUAGCUUGGAAACUUUGGAAUAGGGUGGGGAGGACAGUUUCAUCAGGGAUUGGUUCUUGGGUUAUAUCAUCAGUUAGGCAAGCUGCUCUUCAGUUUUGUCAUCUUCAGAUUCGAGAUACAUCCAUCGGAGUUUUGCUUCUGGUGAUGAAAAUUGUAUGAACUAGCAUCGGCUUAUGGUACUACUAUAGUCUAUAGCUAGCAUCACCAAUCUUCUUGCAACUUUGUUUCAUCUCAUCUGCUUUACUUUUGCCAUUUCAGAGAUACAUCCAUAGCUUUUUUUUUUUAGAUAAGAGUAUUUUUACCUGGCCUCUACAUUCAACUGGAUAUAUGCAGUUUUUUUAAAUUAGGAACUUAGCCCUCAAAUAACUCAAUCUAAAAUUCGCUCCUGUGAAGAUUUGAACUCAGAACCUUGGGGUGUUACUCAGGUCACUGCAAUCAUUAGGCUAUAUGCCCUUUCAUCAGUGUUGGCUGUUACUCCUUGUUCUUGCCAGAUCAAGAUAGGUUGACUGUUGAUCGAUUGCUGCACUUUGUCUUGCUCUAAUCAAGAUAGCUUGAUUGCUGAUCUAUAUUGCAAAGGCCAAAUGACUAUAACAUGUUCAUUCUGUUCACUGGUGAAGUGCAGACUUCAUGGAAUUCAGAUGUCAUAAUAUCUUUUUGCUGGGCAUCUAGGGUUCCUUUUGCUGGAUUCAGGAUACACUAUAAAUAGUGAAGCAUAGUAUCCUGUCUUAGAUUGGUGAAGAAACAGUGCUUUUGUGGACAAUUUGCACACCAUGAUGGAUGUUUUCAAAUGAUGUCAAAUUAUCAAUCUAGCAUACAAUAAAGGAAGAUUUUCAGGGUAUUUGAUUCUGCAGUGAUGAUGCUGUCGAACCAUAUUUCUGCCCUAGCAUUUUUUUGGCAACUGGCCUUGAACCAUUAUCGACCAUAUUGUAACACAAAUUGUUGCCUCCUGUCUGGAUCAACAGUAAGUCUAACCACACUAAAACCUAAUCUACCACUCCUAGUAUUUAUCAUCAUGGAACAAAAAGAUUCAGACACCAUGAUAGUAUCUCCACUGAGCCAUGUAAGAGCAAGUUUAAUAGUAUAGCCAACUAUUGGCUCUAAAAUCAAUUAUAGUUAAUUUAAUAGCUAAUUCAUACAAUAGUUACCUAUAAACAUGUACUAUAUAAUUAAUAUCUGGUCCCACCUAUCAUGCACACAUGCAUAUUGGAGUCUGUGCUACAGCUGGCUACAAAUGUGUAGCUCGCUGCUUUUAUCUCUCAUCUUUUAUCUUCUUAAAAUAUGUUUAUAGCUGACUUAUAGUAUGCUACUGUACUUGCUCUAAAUGUGAUCCCUCUGCAUUGUUGGCUGCACUUGUCAGAAUUCGUUUUUUGUGUAGAUUGCUUCUCUGACGACCAUCUAGAAAGCGUUUCAAGUGGAGACUGAACUUUCAAUUUUGCCAUUUCAAUUUCAGGUUUCAACAAGGCUUAACAAAAAAUUCAGUGCCUAUUGCCGGAUUUGGCAUGUACGAUGGGCCUAGGUACACUCGGACCGUUGAAAUUGGUGGUUUGUGGAUGAGCAUUUUGUUUUGUGGUUCCUUGCUAGUUGCUCCGGCAAGCCGUAGUGGUAGUGCCGGUGACCUAAUCUAGAACCAAAGAUGGGUCCUCCUGUUUUUGGAAUUUGUGUAGGUUUAGUUUAUCAUGUAUAUAUAUGGGAAGGAUAAGUUCAUGGGUGAGAAAGUUGAAUCUUGCACUUUCUGCCAGCACAAAUAGUAGAUGAUUCCGAUUUUCUAGUAUUUUCCUUUUAAAUAGAAGUUGUUUCGAUAUUGGGCUUUUGAUAUUGUAGAGAAUUGUAUCGACUAUCAUCCCAUGUAAUCGGAUAAGAGAUGUAAAACAAUCUUAUUAUGAUUUUUAUAACGUGCAUGAGCGAGAAACAAUCGGAGAUAGAAA